GCCUAAGUGGCUCAGUGGUUAAGCAUCUGACUUUGGCUCAGGGCGUGAUCCUGGAGUCCUGGGAUCAAGUCCCACAUCAGGCU
rnacentral:tRNA from 1 species